rnacentral:rRNA from 1 species
ACACGGUCCAGACUCCUACGGGAGGCAGCAGUGGGGAAUAUUGGACAAUGGGCGAAAGCCUGAUCCAGCCAUGCCGCGUGUGUGAAGAAGGUCUUCGGAUUGUAAAGCACUUUAAGUUGGGAGGAAGGGCAGUAAAUUAAUACUUUGCUGUUUUGACGUUACCGACAGAAUAAGCACCGGCUAACUCUGUGCCAGCAGCCGCGGUAAUACAGAGGGUGCAAGCGUUAAUCGGAAUUACUGGGCGUAAAGCGCGUGUAGGUGGUUCGUUAAGUUGGAUGUGAAAUCCCCGGGCUCAACCUGGGAACUGCAUUCAAAACUGACGAGCUAGAGUAUGGUAGAGGGUGGUGGAAUUUCCUGUGUAGCGGUGAAAUGCGUAGAUAUAGGAAGGAACACCAGUGGCGAAGGCGACCACCUGGACUGAUACUGACACUGAGGUGCGAAAGCGUGGGGAGCAAACAGGGAUUAGAUACCCUGGUAGUCCACGCCGUAAACGAUGUCAACUA